CCUACGGGAGGCAGCAGUAGGGAAUAUUGGGCAAUGGAGGCAACUCUGACCCAGCCAUGCCGCGUGCAGGAAGACGGUCCUCUGGAUUGUAAACUGCUUUUGAAUGGGAAGAAUGUGCUCCUUGCGAGGGGUAAUGACGGUACCAUUAGAAUAAGCCACGGCUAACUACGUGCCAGCAGCCGCGGUAAUACGUAGGUGGCGAGCGUUAUCCGGAUUUAUUGGGUUUAAAGGGUGCGUAGGCGGCUUAAUAAGUCGGUGGUUAAAAGUAGCAGCUUAACUGUUUUACAUGCCAUCGAUACUGUUGAGCUUGAGAUAUUUGGAGGCAGCUAGAAUUUCCGGUGUAGCGGUGAAAUGCAUAGAUACCGGAAGGAAUACCAAUUGCGAAGGCAGGUUGCUACGAAUAAACUGACGCUGAUGCACGAAAGCGUGGGGAUCAAACAGGAUUAGAUACCCUGGUAGUCCACGCCGUAAACGAUGAUUACUAGUUGUUGGGGUUUAAGCCUCAGUGACCAAGGGAAACCGAUAAGUAAUCCACCUGGGGAGUACGCCGGCAACGGUGAAACUCAAAUGAAUUGACGGCUGAGACGNGCGAGACGACGACGAGGGAGGAGG
rnacentral:rRNA from 1 species